ACGGGAAGAGCCCAAACCAACAAGCUUGCUUGUUGGGGUUGUAGGACACUCUAUACGGAGUUACAAAGGACGACAUUAGACGAAUCAUCUGGAAAGAUGAAUCAAAGAAGGUAAUAAUCCUGUAGUCGAAAAUGUUGUCUCUCUUGAGUGGAUCCUGAGUACGACGGAGCACGUGAAAUUCCGUCGGAAUCUGGGAGGACCAUCUCCUAAGGCUAAAUACUCUCUAGUGACCGAUAGUGAACCAGUACCGUGAGGGAAAGGUGAAAAGCACCCCGGAAGGGGAGUGAAAUAGAACCUGAAACCGUGUGCUUACAAGUAGUCAGAGCCCGUUAAUGGGUGAUGGCGUGCCUUUUGUAGAAUGAACCGGCGAGUUACGAUUUGAUGCAAGGUUAAGCAGUAAAUGUGGAGCCGUAGCGAAAGCGAGUCUGAAUAGGGCGUUUAGUAUUUGGUCGUAGACCCGAAACCAGGUGAUCUACCCUUGGUCAGGUUGAAGUUCAGGUAACACUGAAUGGAGGACCGAACCGACUUACGUUGAAAAGUGAGCGGAUGAACUGAGGGUAGCGGAGAAAUUCCAAUCGAACCUGGAGAUAGCUGGUUCUCUCCGAAAUAGCUUUAGGGCUAGCCUCAAGUGAUGAUUAUUGGAGGUAGAGCACUGUUUGGACGAGGGGCCCCUCUCGGGUUACCGAAUUCAGACAAACUCCGAAUGCCAAUUAAUUUAACUUGGGAGUCAGAACAUGGGUGAUAAGGUCCGUGUUCGAAAGGGAAACAGCCCAGACCACCAGCUAAGGUCCCAAAAUAUAUGUUAAGUGGAAAAGGAUGUGGCGUUGCCCAGACAACUAGGAUGUUGGCUUAGAAGCAGCCAUCAUUUAAAGAGUGCGUAAUAGCUCACUAGUCGAGUGACACUGCGCCGAAAAUGUACCGGGGCUAAACAUAUUACC
rnacentral:rRNA from 1 species